rnacentral:snRNA from 1 species
UAAAGCCAAUGAUUAGAGGCA